AUUGAACGCUGGCGGCAUGCCUUACACAUGCAAGUCGAACGGCAGCACGGGAGCAAUCCUGGUGGCGAGUGGCGAACGGGUGAGUAAUACAUCGGAACGUGCCCAGUAGUGGGGGAUAGCCCGGCGAAAGCCGGAUUAAUACCGCAUGAGACCUGAGGGUGAAAGCGGGGGAUCGCACGACCUCGCGCUAUUGGAGCGGCCGAUGUCAGAUUAGCUAGUUGGUAGGGUAAAGGCCUACCAAGGCAACGACCUGUAGUUGGUCUGAGAGGACGACCAGCCACACUGGGACUGAGACACGGCCCAGACUCCUACGGGAGGCAGCAGUGGGGAAUUUUGGACAAUGGGCGCAAGCCUGAUCCAGCAAUGCCGCGUGCAGGAAGAAGGCCUUCGGGUUGUAAACUGCUUUUGUCAGGGAAGAAAUCUUCUGGGCUAAUACCCUGGGAGGAUGACGGUACCUGAAGAAUAAGCACCGGCUAACUACGUGCCAGCCGCCGCCGUAAUAC
rnacentral:rRNA from 1 species